CCCUAUUUAAUAUUCUAUUAAAAAUUUUGCAAAAUGAACUGUGUAAUUUAUUUUGGUGUGUUAUUAUGUGUUAAAUCUUCUUUCGUGAUACUAAGUUCGAGUCACUGCAAUAAACAAAUUGAUAAAUAUCAACGUGACCAAAAUAAUCCAAUUGAAAGGCUAACAAAAGAACAAAGAGUUGAAAAAAAACAAUAUCAUCAACAUACCUAGCUCCACUUUUCGGAAAAUCACCAUAAGUGUUUUUUAAAUUUAUUACGAACCUACUCAUGAAAAGUCUUUAAUGAAAAACUUCAAUUUUUCUUCAAAUAUUAAU